rnacentral:lncRNA from 1 species
UUUCUUUUUUUUUUUUUUUUUUUUGGGUGGGCAUGUUACAAUUGUUAAUUAAUCUGUACAAAUCAUGCGUGGUAUGCACGUGUUCUACUGCAAUGCUCAGCUUAAUAAAAAUAUUAUUAUUAUUGUUGAUAGUAAUGUCAGUGGGGUCGGCUAGUAUUUGCUUGUUCAACUUUUGCUCUUGACAAAAAAAAAAAAAAAAAAAAAAAAAAAAAAAAACUUUUGCUCUUGACAAUUUUAUUAUUGAUUUGUUUUUACGUUGCCUAGCUCUCAAAAGCUCAUUCUGUGGCGUUAUCUUCGCCACUCCUACUCUAGUCUACUCUCUACUAGGAAGUGAUUGAAUUAUUAGUGCUAGUGCUACAAGCCACAUAUGAUCUGAUAAAUUUUAUAUAAAAUUUUCAUUAUUAAAGCAAAUUGUGAUAUUUUAAUUUUUUUUACUCCCUUCAAAUGAUGAUGGUUUUACAGUAAUUUUUGUUAAGAUGUGUUUAAAUUAAUUAUGAUUAAAAAUAAUUAUAGGUAGAUAUUUCAACAAUUCAUAUUUAGAUAGUAAAAUAAUAAGUGAUUUUAGCAAGGAUAAAAUUGAAAGUAUAUAAAAUGAAAAAAAUGUUUUAUCGCAAAUUCUCAUCUCUCUCUUUUCUUCUCUUUAUAUAAAGUGUAGAUAUAUAAAGUAUGGAGACUACGUGGAUGAAUUUUCUUCUCUCUUGUUUGUUUUGUUAGCAGUACAAUAACCUUUUCCAUAUGUCCGAAUUUUGUAAUGUUUUGUAAAGAUUGGGGACAGUGGGGUACGGUGCUACGUGUUAAUGUAUAAAUUUAGUUGGGAGGACUUGAAUGCUGACUAAUAGCUAGGCUGGCUUUGCUGGUAGUUGGCCACCACCUAGCAGACAGACCACUAAUAAAAGAGUCCGGGGACUAAGAAAUGGUCUAGGAUUUGGACCAUGUCCAUUUCCAAUAAAUAGGGGGGCUCUCCCUUGGUACUCUCUUUUCUCCGCUAGUUGAGUGAAAGUCCAAAUCUUAUAUUGGAUUCGUUGAUGGAGAUUCUUAACUCAACUAAUCACUAUGCUCCAUCUAGCUAAUCAGCCUUUUUUUAAUAUAUAUAUAUAUAUAUAUAUAUACACUGUAUAUAAACAAACGACUAAAUAGAAACGUAUUAAGAAUAAUCUUUUAUAUAUUGAUAAUGUAUGCAUUGCCGGUUAAUGCUAAGAGAGCGAAAAGUUCGAAUCUUAUAUUGGAUUCGGUAGCGAAGAUUCUAAACUCAAGUUGUCUUGUCUCUUGCCUCGUCGUCAUUAAUUACUAUGCUCCACCUAGCUAAUCGCUAAAUAGAAACGUAUUAAGAUUAAUCUUGGAUGAGUAAAUGUUAUAUAAAAUUUGAAUUUGAAACUAACGGCGAUAAUAUAUACACUGCCAGUCAGUGUAUAUAAGAUUCACUCAACUUAUUAUGAUUUCGUCACAAGAAGGGAGAUUUCUAUUUCUAGUUUUAAUAGUUCUAGAGUAAAACACACGAGUUCUCAACUUUCACGAGAUAUUAUUGUUUAGGAAGCAUUAAAGGAUUUCGUAAUCCUUUUGUAUGUUAAUUUUUGCAGAAACUUUAUGGGAUUUCAAAUUCCGCUGCACGACAAAGUAUUACUCAAGGAAUGCUUAUUCCAAUAUGAGUUGCUUCCCGUUUCGAUUGCAUUUUUCGGCAUUUUUCAUGGAAAAAUUACUGUAGCGAUUUGAUGUAUGUGAGGAAAAAAGGUAAUAGGGAAAUGUGUUCACGGAAAAUGACGAAAUUUUUCUACGGAAAACAGCAAUCCAAGCGAGGCUUUUAAUUUAUCUUGAUAUAUUAAUAAAUGUAGAGCUUUCUUGUAACAACUCCUUUGCUAGCAUUGUUAUGUAUACUUGGAGAGAAAGAAGUCCUACAGCUUUUAUGAACCUUACAAUCUGAGCUGAACGUCCUAACUAAAAAUAAGAGAUGCAAAACUGCCAGCACAAGGCACUGGCCAAGGAUUCUUCAUCAAAGGCAUAAAAAAGUUAAAAAAGUUAGUGACCAAACUGUACAUUUGAAUCAAAUUGAAAUUUUGUAAAAUUGCUUCCUCUCAUUGCCACCUUCUGGGAGUGGGAGGUUUAGGUGAUAAAUUGGCUCCACUGGCUGAUUUCUUCAAUCCUGAGUAAAUGCAGAGAAAGUCUCAAAAGAAACAUCAGCAGAAAUGAAGCUCAUUCCAUUCAUGCAAAAAGCAUAGCAGUGCAAUCUAUAGAGCACCAUUGUGCGUACCAGUUGAGACUCUUGGAGACUCCUUUGGUGAUUUUUCUCCUGCUCUAGGUGAUCUAACUACUAUUUUCAAUCUGCAAAAGAUGAUUAUGAGAACAAAUGAUCAAAGAUCCCGAGCCAGUCAAAUACCUGAUCGCCACUGCAUAACUGCAGAAGUAGUAAAGCUAAGGUAACAUAGUCCCUCGACCUAUUUAAGUGGUAUGAAAGCCGAAACCACAUGGUUAAAGCAUGACUUAAUCUGAUCGAAUCAAAGUGGUCUUUUCCCGAAUGUCCGAAAAGUGGCAGAAUUCUUCAUUAGCUGUGAAAAGUUAUAGCAAGGAACAAAAGAACAAGAAUGAUGGCAAGGUACUUUGGCUUUAAUAUUUCAGAAAAUGAGGGGUGAAGGAAGGAGAGUGUUCGUUCUACUAUCAGUGGUUUAACGUUAGACAAUUUAGAACACCAUAUCCUCAAUUACUUGAAAAAGAACUUCAGGCAUAUGCAUAAACAGUAAAUAUUAAUCCUAGUAGUUUGUUACAUGGAUGCUUUCAGAAAACUGUAAGAUAAAAACGUAUAAAGACUAAUUAUAUUGUCUCGUUUAGAAUAGGAGAAAGCACUAAAAUCGUUACGCGUAUUAUGAAGGUUCUGAGAAAACAAGAUGAAAUAUUGAAUUGGCUAGUUAAUUAUAUACUUACUUAUCAAUAUUCUCAGAUCGCCUUGCUCCUUCAGCAAGGGGACUUCUUUCCACUGAGCCAUCAGUUUCUGUGCCCAAAGAAACACAAAUAUCAGACAUAUCAGUCUUUCUUUGCAAAUUAUCUGCACUGCUGGAUUCCAAGGCCUCAGCCUCAGCAGAAAAAUGUUGACCUAUAUUAACCCUCCAGCAGUCUUGGAUUGCUGGGGGGGGAUUCUUUUUUAUAUCUCUAAAAUCAUUGGUUUGGAACUAUCUAAAGAAUGUUUAUCACUACCCUCUGAGUUAUCUUCAUCAGAAGCUGCUUUCUCUAUUAGUCCUGAGCCUUCCUCACCAGAUAAUUUCAUGCUUCGUUGAGGAGUCCCAUACCUCAGUGAAUUUGCAUCAUUAUUGGCUCCAGCGUACACAUUUUUGAGAUCCUUGAGGAGUUGUAAUCUCUCAAUUUCCUCGUCUUUCUUCGCAAUUGUGUCUUUUAGGGAUGCAACCUGCAACAUUGGGAAUCCGCAUAUAUGAAAAGUUAUCUCCAAGAAUAUCAAAGUUACUCGAAAAUAGGAGAGACUAGAAACUAAAAUACACAAAUUUCUUUAUAAGUGACUUCUUUGAUUUCAACGUCUGUAGUUGUUUGUUUUCAUCAACGCAGCCAAGAGUCCAGUUAUACUUUUUCAACUGGAUUUCUUUUUAGAAUUGUCCAUGCAACAGUAUAUAAUUGAAAUCCUUUAUGAAAACAAGAAUUUCCUAACACACAUGAAAACCAGUAAAAAAAAAAAAAAUCUUAGAAUUUCAUAUUCUCUAUAUGAAUUGGAAGAAAGAGAAUAAACACUACCUGCUCCAUCAAUUCCCUAACAUCCCUGCCAUCUUUGCUGCUUUUAGCAGCACCUAGCUCAACUCCAGAUGCCCUUUCAGCAAAUUUCAAGGUACUUAGAGUUUCUGAAUAAGAAUUAACUUCAGGGUUAAGUUGCACAAACAUGAGAGUCUUCGCAUUUCCACCUGCAUCACAACAAUGGAAAAAAAAAAAAAAAAAAAAGAAUGAAUGAAAUGCAUUUCACUUUUCUGGUCAUUGUAGUAAUCCAAUUGCCCACGAAAUGCACCCCAAUGUUUCUUAUACUGAAAAUUACAAAAUUCUGUCACAUAGUACAGUGUUUAUACUAAGACAGAUAAUAAAUUGUCAGCCACUUUUAGUUUCGUUGGUUGAAGAGGGGUAUGGAGGGAAAGUAAUUAGUGUGGAGGCCUAUGCACAUUUAGACAAGGAAUGCACAAGAAACGUACUUGCAAGACCAAAGAUACGAGGAAAAGAGGAAUCAUCCCCUUCGAGGACUUUAUCUCCCAAAAAACCAUCUGAGCUUUUUGCUGCCUAAAGUCCUAUGGCAGAAAAUGCUAAGGAGUUUUACUGAGUUUCACAUGAAGUACUAUACUUGUGUCAUACCAUGCCAGCCAACUAAGUUUUCAUCCAAUGCAUGUUUAAACAUGACAAAAUACUAAAGCAACGUGAACCAAGUGAUACUACUCCAUGUAUACUUGAACCUAAGCUUAUCUGCAAAUGUUCCAACCAGAUGCAGAAAGUCCGUAAAGUAACUUGGAGGCUGAAACAACAACGCAUAGAGCAUUUGCUUAGCUUUUAUAUACCCCUAAAAAAAAAGCUGUGAAUUAGAUCCAUUUUCGCUCAUAUGAGGCAAUAUUACAUUGACAAAAAAUAACAUACCCAACGAGCCCUGAAGGACUUGAGUGAGCUUGCUAUUUCUAUAUGGAAUAUGAGGACUCUUUUGUGCCAAAGCAGAGAUGACAUCUCCAAGGGCAGACAAUGAUUUGUUUAUGUGUUGUGCCUCCUUUAAUCUAUCACCUGUGACUUCACUGCGGUCUACUCUUUCACUUCCCGCAAGAUCCACUAGAUGAAGACUACUCUGCAUAGAAGAUCGGGUUUUCUGAUCUACCCCACGAGCAUGUAUACUCAGGAUGCUGUGUAAAUGGCAUGCCAGUUAAAACGCUGACAAUAACAUGAGAAAAAUAAUUAAGGAACUUUAACAUGGUAGUAAAUAACCUGUGUGAUCGACUGCUUCUUUCGUUUAGUGCUGUGGAACCUUUAGCUCUAUUCUUCAGUCCAACAUCCAUCAGGUGCAAUACAUCAGAUGUCGCUUUAACUGGGUACAUGGUUGCAUCUGGGACCGCUAACCCAUUUGGUUGGGAGCCUGACAAAAUCCCAAGUGUGUGCAAAUAAAGGAAAACCAAAAGAAAAUUGCUAUUAUGCAAUUCAAAAGCACUUCAUUGUAAUAAAGAUUUACGUGAAAAAAAGGUUGCAAUUUCUGCUCCAAAAGUGGUGUUAUUGUAUAGCUUGGAGCACAAUUAUUUUACUACGACUUUAUUGGGAGAAUGCACUUAUAGUUAAAGCAUGAAAGAGGACUCAAGAUCAAGCUACAACAUGGUCUCAAAAUAAUUAUCAUCCUAAAGCAAGAUAAAAUAUUCCAGCAUAUAAUGAAGGAUAUCUCUUUUGGGAAGUAUCACUUGAGAGUAAGUCACGGACUUGCUCGUUAUAUAUUUCCACCAUCUGAACAGAAAUUUCGUAAGAAAAUGCGUGCUCUCUAUUCUGAGAAGUUUGGAACAGAUUGUUUAAGGCUCGGUAGUUAACACCCCAUUCAUCUUCAGAUGCUUUAUCAGGUCCAGUCUGGAAGUAGAUAUGAUAUUUCAGCGACGCAGACCACAAUGAAGCAUAUGCACUGUAGACAGAAACUGAUCAAAAUAUUCAUACCAUAGUAUAGGUUUUCCCUGAUCCAGUCUGGCCAUAAGCGAAUAUGCACACAUUAUAUCCAUCCAAAACUGAUUGUAUUAAUGGCUGCGUAUCUGAAAAUACUUCAGCUGCCAUUGGGGGAAAAAACAGUGAAUUUCCAUGUUGUUUUGGCCUAUGUACUAGAACAAAAAUAUAGAAGCAAAUAGCUUAAUCCUGCAUGAAACUGUUCUGUAAAGCAUACCAAAGAACAUAAAUAGAAUCAAAACCUUGUGUAGCAGCUUGACUGUAAACCUUGUUGAAUUUGAAUGAACGACGACUUUCUUUUCCUUGUUUGGCAGGAUUUACAAUAAUGAGUUCUCCAUUUUCACCAACAUAUUCAAUGGUUGACUGCUUUUCUCUCUGACCCGGGAGAAAUGGCCUUAUACGACAAUAAACUCUGAUAUUUCCUGUUCAUGUUUAAAGAGCAGAAGAAACUAAAGAAUACGAUCGAUGUGUAUUUAGAACCUACAAGUUCAUAAUAUUGAUAUAGAACCUUUUAGCUCUUGGAGCUCAUUGUGUAGCUUUUGAUUUUCAGCCAGCAUUGCAUAAUAGCUUUGAACUGCUUUCUGCAUAGCUUUGACAUUCAUUCCUGCAGUUAAUUGUUAACCAUGAGGUCAAUUCAUGACUUGUCACUUUAAACAACCAAAAUAUAAUCCCGAAAGUAGAGAGAGGUGUUCUCAGAGUAGGGACCUAAGACAUUAAAUUCCUCUGAGUAGCUUUUUUGUGUUUUCACAAUUUCUUGCUUGAUUGACUGCGAAGCAAACCUGAGUUCCUGAAUAUUGGCGUUAGAUCAGGUCAAACAUAACACCCAAGUCAGAAAGCUAGAGAAAAGAUAAAUAGCACAAACUGAGGCAUACACGCAGUGCGCCAAGUUGGAAUUCUGUAAAUAUUUGGUAUAUGUGCUCUUUCUUGGUCCAUCCCAAAGAUUUUGAUUCAGAUAACGCCUCAAGUUCCUUCACCCUAUUUCUUGACUCUGCUAGAAAGUUCAUGACCUCCUUCAACUUCUUCUCUAAUUCUUGUUGAACUCCUCUACCUUCUGUUUCCAUUUGUAAGCAAUGUUCCUCGUGCAUUUUCCUCGAUACUUCUAGCUCUUGCUUCAAAGCUGUGAUUUCAUGACUGAAAUCAUCCUUCUCUUUUAUCGUUUUAACCAGGUCCUGCUCCUCGACAUUCCUUUUUUCUUCUACAUUCCUUUUCUCUUCUAUUUUGCUCUGCUCAUUCUAGUGUGAAAACGGACAGUGAAGCAUUUAAAAAUAGCAAAAGCAUUCCUUAUGGAGGGCGAAGAAGCCGUUGAUCUAUUACAUAAGUUACAGCAUAAAAAAUAAACCAUGUCUUUUCGAAAAAUCCAUAAAUGAGGAAAUGGAUCUGUUGAAAACAGAUAAAUAAUCAGCAUUAAAAUAUCAAUGCCCUUCAUUAACAAAGAAGAACAUUACAAAUUACAUUUUAGUGCUUUAAAUUGUUGGACUAACAGUAGAUUCAACAUGCUUCCAUCACUAAGAGAACAGAUUCUUUUGAAUCUGCCAAGCGCAGGGUGGCAUGGUUGGCAGCUAAAAGAAAUUGAGGUCUAGCAGAAACAGACUCACACAUAUGAACCAAAAGAAAACAAUCACACUUACAAGAAGAGUGGUAGACAAUGCCGAACCAUAGAAAAUGGAAGUUAUACCUUAAUAUGAUGUAGCUGGGGCGUAACAUGAUGUAGCUGGGGCGUAACAAUCUGCAGCAGAGAAACUUUGGUAGACAAAGGACCAAAUUUCAGCAAAAUUUAGGAACUGCAAACUCGCAGUGCAAGAAUGACUACCUGUGACUCUUGAUUACUCCCAGUUGCAAGGGCUUCAAGUACUCUAAUCCUAGACUGGUACUUCUCCUCUCGGGCCUUGAAAAGAUUGUUUUGCUGCAGGUUAUAUAAAGAGGUUAGUUAACCAUAUUGCUGAAUUUAUGAGAACUGUUCACAAGAAAGAUGCACAAAUCAUUACCGUUUUCAAGUGUUCCCCUUGAGUAGAUAUUCGCCGCUCAAUCUCUUGUACAACUUUCCUCAAAAGGCCUGCCACUCGCUGUCAAAUAGAAUCCAUAGGGAUGAGUUAAAUCUUGUUGAUUGCCAAGUACAUGAGAAAAGGAUAAUAAUGCUUGGACUCAUCAGGAUUACUUGAGGAAUCUCCCCAUUUUUCCGCUCAAUGCUUUCAUCUAGAAUUCCGUUUACAACACUUAAAAGUGACUGAGUUGGGGCAUUCUGCACAGAACAGAAACAGAAAUUGUCUAUAAGAGCACGAAAUGCAUUGGUAGUGACAAGUCUCUCUACAGAGUAUAGAUCCAGUCCAUAGAAUUCACAAAAGCAGGACCAGAGGACAUACAUCCAAACUGUUUGAUUUCAUCAUUUCAGAAAUCUUGGAAGCAGGGAGAUCUGCAUAACGCCCAUGUUUGAGCUGAAAUACCUCAUGGAACUUAUGCCCGACAUGAUGCUUCAUUGUCGCUGAUGGUUCUGAAGAAACGAAAGAAAAAAGGAGCAUAGACAAAUCACGAAUAAAAAGAAAAUGAUUGCAUAUGAAUUCAGUUUGUCAUGAUUGACAAGCAACAAGUAUGAGUUUGUCUUGUUAUGAUUCUUCUUUUGAGAGUAAAAAGUAGCAAUAUACCUGCCAUAACUGGACUGUGUGAUGCAUGUUGAAAGGGAGAAUAUUUAUGAACACCAUGACCACUGCGAAAACAGUCCCCUAACAACUUCCAUUUUGUACUUCCAUCACUUCCUAAUUGAUUGGUUGAAUGUGCGCCAAAAUGAUGAUGUGCCCUUGCAUUUGGCAUAAAAUGUGCUCUGAGAGUUAAAAGGCAGUCCAACACCAUUUUCAUGGACCCCUGUACCAUUUAGAUGCGUUGAAGAUGCAAUUGAGCAAAAGAAGUGCAAGAAGCAGAUGAACAUAAAUGUUGCCAGGGUAAGAAAUUAUACUACUACAUUCUGCAUUUAUGAAACUAUUUACUGAGAACUGAAUUUUGUUUACCUUUUCCAGGUCUGAUAACUGGAAUCUGGGCAACCCCAUUUGAUCCAUAGUUGCUAAAAACCUUUUGACAUUCUCAGACCGUGACUCUGGAGACUGAGCAGGACCACCAUGCUGUAAACGAUGCAACGCAGAUUAUCAACAUUUGAACACAACCAUUUGAUAAACUUCGCAAUUUUACAGAUGAAGAUCCAACAAACGACAACCUCUGUCACACAACCAGGUUUUAAUUUGUUCAACAAUUGGCAUAACAGUAUGCCAUCAACCAAGAUUUCUCGUAAUUCUUCAUCAGAGGCAUUCAUUGGCAAACUUAAAUUAGGAAGAAGACUGUUCAACCAUUCCACAAGAAUGGCCCUCUGCUUAGCUGUGGAAUCAAAAAGGAGAAAAGAUCAGUCCAGUGAUCAUUGAGAUAGGCACGUAUUCUAACGAACGAAAGCAAAUGCCGCCCCAGCCUCACCAUCACUUUUUGACAUAGGCUCAAAAGCAUCAGCACUGAGAGACAUAGUUGAGCUGUUGAGUCUAUCAUAAUCCUUGGCUCUCCAGAGGAAUUUAGGACAGCAGGCCAGGGUUCCUAUCCUCUUUCAGAUGCGAGCUGUAGCAUGAAUGCACCGUGCAAGGAAACGACCUUUGAUUACCACCAGAAAGGGCAUGGGAAAAGCAUAUUUAGUAAUGGAAUAGUGAACCAGAUUUCACAAUAAUCACGAGACUUUUCUGGUUGCAAGAAAAUUUAGCUGAAACAUAAAUUAUUGUCAUGCAACUCUGUGGACAAACAAUAUAAGAAAGAAUCACAGCUCAAAUUAACUACUCAAGAGAAUUUGCUAAAAUAAACCUGUUUCAUUAGAAAGUCAUGCUAGCCUUUGUGUAGAAACAAAUGAUAUGGAAUUUUACUCGGUAGCAGCUUGAAUCUGGCUAUAUUUAUUUUCCAUGCACAACUAAUUGCUUGCAAGUCAUUUUUCAGCAAGUAAAGCAGAAAGAGAGCUGAAGCUAGUCUUCGUAUUUUCAUAUUUUUAUCUGCAAAAUAAAUCUCAGCAUCAUUUCUUAGAAAAACAAUAGCCCGUAUUUGGCAAAAUGAUUUGAUAUAACAAUGGAUUUGUCCAAUCAAUUUUUAAGAGUCUGAGAGUGAGGGAAAUCAAAGUGAAAAUUGGUACUGGCAUUCUUUUAUGUGAUUUAUUGGGAUAAGUGAGAACCCAAUACUCAAAAUUAAGAGGGGAACUAACUUAGGAGAUGAACCUGCAAUUAGGAUAUUUAGCAAAUUACAAAGCUAGCGAUCAAUUGAAUCUUUCUCAAGGUCUGCCGGACAAUGAUAAACCAGAAUCUGCAACAUGGAUAUGGAAAAGAUAAAAAAUUUCAGAAAUUGCACCAAAACAAGCAUUUCGAUCACUUGUGCCCACAUUUAACGCGCAGAAAUUCUAAUGAUCCAACAAAAACCCUAAGAUAUAACAGUUAAAGAAUAGAGUCCUUGCCCUGCCUCAGCUUUGCAGAAAUCAGACAACCUCCAACACAGUAUAGAUUUAGAGCAGAAAUAUUGAACAUCAUACCAAAACGGGCUUCAAAUGUAACAAUCCACACGUGCAAAAUGCAGUAAACAUGCAAGUUCUCAUCCCGCUAUCAACAAGUUAAAACAUGAAAUAUUUCGCUUACGUGCACUAAUUUGUCAUCACCUGUUCAACUCUGAAAAUAAAAGAAAUAUGAACAGAGAUCCAUAACAAUGUGGCCAUGCAAAUCGAAUAUACAUUGCAUGCAAAUAAAGGGUCAUUCAUGAAUGCUGGUAGAGAAUAAGAAGAAGAUGGGACGAACCAGAGAAGAAAUGCAGCGGCAUCAAAGCUAAGAAAGGCAACAAAAUGUGAAGAUUUUUUUCUUUAGUAAAUAUUAUACUAGUUAUUUCUCACUGCUACUCGUUUACUUUUUUGGGGUGUGAAAUUUAUUGGUAAGGGAAAAUUCUAAAGCAUUUCUUUCAAGUCUUCCGUGAACUCUUGGUAUUCUAUCGUUGUAAGGUUACAAUCCUGUCCGUUCUCCGUUUAUUCAGGAGUCGAUCAACAAUCUUUUAGCUCUCUCAGGUGUGGUCUCAAAUCAAUUGAGUUAGCUUCGCCUCUUUUCCUUUUUUGGGUCUUUCUAAUUCCCGUUUUAGUAAUAACCGAUAUGGCAUAUUCUUGAUUCAUGUGUGUUGGCAGGGAAAAUUUAAUUCAAUACGUCUACCUAAGCAACUCUUGAAUAAUUGAAAGAAUAAAUGGAAAUGAGGCAUGUACGUAGGCUUGGGAAUAGGAAGAGAGAGAUCCAGAUUCUUUAUUGGAUUUUUGUGGUGAAUAUUUUUGUUGAAGCUGUCUUUUUUUUUUUUUUUUUUUUUUUUUUCUUUAACCUAAGUCCUUCCUUUUUAAUUAUAGUAUGAUUAUGACAGACAUUUAGAGUACAAUUAAAAAAAAACCAACAGAGGUUCAAUUUUAAAAACGGUCGAAAUGCAAGGAGGUUCAAUCAUGAAUAUCCUUUACAGCUACUGAAAAGUCAUCUUAGUCUUUGAUAUAUUAGGUGUUACAACGCCUAGACUUAUUACUGCCCACCCCAGGACCCCAAGGCCAAAAAAAAAAAAGGGUUAUUCUGUCGCAUUACCUUUGUGAAAAUUAGUAGUAUAAAAAGCAGUUUAACAAAAUAAAGGUAGUCUGUCAUAAAGGAAAGAAGAAAAAAUUAUAGUAACUUGAUGGAAAAAUCUUGUUUGGCAGACAAGUUUUUUGCCAAGUUUGUCUGCUACAAGUUUUUUUUAAAAUUUUAACUAUAGUAAUCUCAAAAAAUUUCUCAAAGUUUUAAAAUUAUACACUUCAAAAUAUUAAAAAAAAACACACUUCGAAAAUUUUUUAAAAAACUUUUACAAUAAGUUACAGUAAAAUUUUAGACAAACAGUCAAAAAACUCACUUGCCAAACAGGGCCGUUCUUAGAUGAAUUAUACAAGGAAUGGAAUUUUUACAUAGAACUAACACAAAGAUUAGGUUAUGAUUUUUUUUUUCCCCGAUACAAUGGAGGGUCUGAAGACCCAUUUAACAACAACCAGUCGGAUGAGACCCUCGAUGUAUCUUAGCUUAAUAGUUUUCUGAGUGCAAAAGGAGCAUCCUAAGAACAACCAAACCAGCAGAUUGCUGCAACCCAUCCUCGACUUUGAGGCGAUCCGCACACAAGUUACCCUCACGCUAAACAUGGGCAAUUCCAGUCUCUUUCCAAUAAAGCCCUGAUCUUCAUGACGAUAUUGUAAUAUUGACUCUCAAUUGGAGCAUGAAUUUUGUUUCUUUAGAAAAGAUAUUACUGUAUCCUGUUUUCACAUAGAAAAAUAAUUUCAAUAGUAUAAAAAGUUUUGGUCGAAAGUAUAAAGAGCUGAGGACAUGGAUGUCUAAUAAAAGUAUAGAGAAUGAAUUUAGUAUCGAACCGUGUGGAUUUAGUGCCUCCGUUGUUAGAAAGCUCUACUUUUGAGCACCGCAUAACCACUUACAAGAAAUACUCUCUAUUUUUUUUUUUUUUUUUUUCAUUGAGGGGUGUCCAAGCCUUUAUUUGGCCAAACUAAUCCCUAAAACUAGCAAGUCCCGUUCAAGAAUGUUAGCAAGUUACCUUACAAAAGUCGAAUCUGAGAUUUUGCAGUAAAAACUGACGACUAGUCCUGACUAAACUACCCGUGGAGGACACUCACUCUGUGUUAAUUAAGUAAAUCCUCUAAUUCCCAAUAGUCACCAAAAAGCUAGAAAGCUCUAUUGUGUUGUACGAGUUGCUAUGCUGCUCCAACGAAAGCACGAGGACCAUGAAUUGAGAAGAUGCUACUCACCAAGCGGAAGGAAUGGAAACCUUCAAUCCAUUCUUGAAUUGUAUCAGCCAAAUUUGGAAUUAGAGAGUGUAGUUAUUCACUUCCCCCAGUUGCCAUCCUUGCCUGUCACUCCGGAAGAUUAUGAAAGAUUUGCACCAACAGUCCAAAAGAGGUGCAAAUUGACAUUUAAAAAAAAAAAAACUUAUCUGUAGUCAAUGUCUAACAAUCUUAUCAACAUCAAUGAUUUUAAUUGUGCCGCUACUCCAACCAUGGAUUUGGGGCAGAUGACCGUCCCUGCAUGGUUAAGGGCCAAGAUUUGCCCUCAAAAUUUUGUGCGGCUGAGAUUACACCAUGUAACUCGAUUUUCGCGCCAAGUGUGGGGCCCACCACUAUCUGUUGUGAAAAUACAUCCUGUAAAAAAAAAGUUACACAAUGUACAAAGAAAGUUACGGGCAGUUGAUAAUGACUAAAAUUGCUCGGGACGGUUGCAGGUCCGUGCCCCGAGUCCUCCAACCAUUUUUUUUUUUUUUUUUUGUCGACGGAGUGGGGUGUCCGGGUCAAGUCCGUAAAGGCGGCCGACUAAUCCCCACUUCGGCCCGGCCCAGCGCUCCAACCGGACCUAGCACGUUAAAUGCACGGCGAACUGAUGUUGCUGCGGAGGUUCGACCCCAGGACCUAACGGUCCCGAGGAAGAGGCGCCAACCACCAGCCCAUUCACGUGGGGGCCCGAGUCCUCCAACCAUGGGAGUAGAUUUUUGCACUCGUCCUAUGUCGUUGUCAGCUUGUGAGAUUUCUAAAAAUAAGUGGCCUUUCGUAUUGUUAAAGUAGGGAGAAAACUGAAGACAGAAACAUUGGGCACUAAAGCUUUCACAGAAUAGAAUACACAUUUGAUCGGCUUUCUUUAUCGUUAUCCAAACUAGUGGGAUCAUAAAACAAAGUCUUAGAAUUGGAAUUUUCUUUGCUAGCUGUACUGAUGCAUAGAAUUCUGCAAAUAUUUGUACCAUGAUGUUUCAUGCAUCAUAUCAAAUAGAAAAUAACUUCAUUAUUGACUGGCUCUAAUAGAUCAGAUCAUCCACUUAUACUGAUAAAGACUGAAAAUGGACCAUGACUUCCCCAUUAAAGAGUGUCCAUUUGUCCUGCUCCGUAACCUUCUACUCGGCUCCAAGGCCCCCGGUCACCCGGGCCCCCAUCCCGCAUCAGAGAAGACAUAAAGGCCAGAAAAAAAAAAAAAGAAGGAUUAACCACAUUUUUAAGAGAACAUGUUCCAGCUUGAAUCACUUUGAUGAAUCUGAACCGACACACCAAACCGAGAAAAUGCGUUGCAGUCCCACACGACCCAUUCCAGGCGAGAGUCAUGAGAGUUCAAAUCUAAGGUAACAUUCGAACCCUGGGUCAAUUCGUAAGCAAAGUUAGAUUCAUGUUAAACUUUACCGGUUAAUUCGUGUUGAAGUUAGAUGAAUUUAGCAGAGAGGAAUGGGUUGGAUGACACAGGAUGAUGCAGUGUAAAUAAAAGAUUUUAUAUUACAAAAUUUUCACUUAUUUUUUUUUUAUAAAAAGUUAUGCAUGUUUACUUUCUUUCAGAAUAAAUUUUAUUUAUGUAAAUAGAAACUUGAAUUUUUGUCAAAUCGAAUGGUAUUUGUAAUCUUAGAUGUGCAUCUCAACCACUUUUUUUGUUUUGCUUGUUGCACAUACAUAAUAGUAUCAUAAAAGUCACAACAUAAAAAACAAAAAUAAAACAUGCAAUCCAAACAGAUUCUGUCAAAGUUCUAAAUCUAGUAAUCCUAAUGGACAACUAUUGCAAGUAAAACCCUUUUCUUUAAUAAAUAACUCAAAGAAAGUAUCAUAUAUGUGUGUUUGGAUUGAGAUGAUUUGAAAUAAAAUAAUUUGUUUCAUAAAUUUCAAUUACUUUUAUAUCUUUUUAAUUUUUUUUAUUUCACAUACAUCACAUCACAAACAAAUGCUACAGUAAUUUUUUAAAAUAAAUCAUCCAAAUAAACUCCUAUCCAAACAAAAUUGUACCAAGAAAUAAUUAUUAUCUUUGCGUAUUAAUUUUUUUUGAGAAAAGUUAAAUUGAUUUGAAAAAAAUCUAAAUACAAAGAAUGCAGUAAUAAAUAUGAAAGUGUGCAUUUACAUAGUAAGUGAGAUGUAAUUUAAUUGUACAUGUAAGGGCCUUGCAGCAGUCAUCAAAAGUAUCUCUGAAGAAAUGGAAAGGAAAUUAAUAGGAAAUUGAGUGGAAGUUGAAGAAGAGAAGACAAUGAAGUCAGCUGCCUCCAACCUCCAGGGUUUGCGGAUAAGAAUGGAUGAGAAAACCAGAGGUCCAGUACAAAGGGCGCCCACAGCCCCACUCUAAACCAGUGUACGGAUUCCACAAAACCGGGAGUUGUCCAUGACUUUUCCCCACCAACGCCUUCACACGCGCCUACUCCGUCCACCUUUUACUCCCACAGAUAAGAAAGGAGCAAGCCAAAGCAAAGUGUCUUUUGUUAUUAGUUAUUACUACUAUAUUAGUGGUUGAACUACAAGUGAUUUGUUUUAUAGGUGGUCACAGAGGAUAUUUGUUGUUGCAUUAGAUCAAAAUUGAAGUUGUUAUGCAGUUGAUUAUAUAUGUGUUUAAUAAAUUGGUCAAAUAUUUUUGCCAAUUUGACAAGAAAUUAAGUUUUAUUAACUUUACAUAUGAUAUUGCUAAAGUAGUAUCUAUGGUAUAAUCUUGUGAGUUGUGCAUAUGAAGUUCGAUCAUAUACUAUAACAUAUAUUGUAUAUGCGGUUUUAAAUUAAGCUCAAUAAACUUAAGAAUUAGUACUGCAUAAUUUAAUUUCAUCUCAUUUAGUUUUGUGACCUACUAGAGCUUGAAAAAUAUUACAUCAAGUUUAAGCCGUGAAUGAAUAUGUUACAAGUAGUUUGUUAGAUGUUUAAUUUUAGUCUCACCAAAACUAAAAUAAAUGUGGGCAUAUUAUAAUAUUAUAUUUUUUAUAAAUUUUUAUUAAAAAAUGUGGGUGAUUAUGAUAGAAAAUUAUUUUUAAAAAAAUUUAGGUACAUUUCUUUUAACUUUUUGUAAUGUGAUUUAUUUGAGUUUAAAGGUAAUUAAAAAGAUAUCUAAAAAAAAGGUAAUUAAAAAAGAUAAAAGUAGUAGUAGUUCAAAAAAUAUAUUUGAUGAUGAAUGCGGAAGUGGCGCGUGGACUAUAGACAAAAGCUUCAAGAUUAUGUGGCGAGCCGCCAUGACCUGAAAACUGACGUCUGAAACACGUGUUCCAUCUACGGCUUCCAUGGUUUUGGACCCACUUGCAUGGCGAUUCUAUGUAUCAACCCUUCAGAUACCGCUGAAUUACCUUCUCGCCACCGACCGCGUAGAUUAAAGUUUGGGGCUCUAAAAAGACCAAUUUGACAUUCGAUGGCAACGGCAAUUUCGCUUUUACAAAAGUGGAGAUGAUAGAUGGAUUAGAGUAUAAACCUAGGACUCGUGAUAAUAUGAGCCUAGUUGCAUCUAAUUUGAUGGCUUAGCGAGGGAUGUGAAUGAUUGGAUAGACUUCGGACUAUUCGGGCUGCGAUACUUUUUUUCAAAAAAAAAGUACUUUUAAAAGAUAAAAGCGCUGUGUUUGUACUUAACAAGUAUUAUUUCUUGAAUUUAAGAGAAGAGCUUUUUUUAAUCAAUAAAGCACUUUUAAUAUUAAUUCAAAAUUGAUACUUUCAGAGCAACUUUUGUCUUCCAAAAAAAUAUAAAAUUAACUUUAACAAUUUUAUUAUAAAUUUUGAACCAAAUGAAGAGAUAAAUAAAUUUUAAAAUUUCACAUUAUCAAAUAAAAAAUACUUAUGCAAGUAUACAUCUAAACAAUAUAAUUAAGCACUCGAUGACUAUUUUGAUCAAAAACUGUACUGAUAAAGUGAUUUUAAUAAGCUCCACCACAACCUCAAAUGGACCUUUAAUUGGUUAAACUACUAGUACAUAAUUCAUUGGAAUUUCGGAUAAAAUUGACUAAACUAUGACAAUUUGAAAAUUUAUAACUCUUAAACAUACAUGGAAUGUCUAUGUAACUACAAGAAAAUUUAAUUUUAUCAGUUAUUGGAAACUUGAUUUUUCAAUUGUGCUAUAGUUAUUUAAAGUAUUGACAACAAGAAAAAUAUGAAGAAAUAUCGUCAUGAUCAUAGAAAAAAGGAAAACAAUUUGUCAAAUUUCUAGUUUUGCUUACAUGAUGUAAAAUAAAUAUAGAAUAUUACAUUUUUCUAAGAAAAAAUAGUCAAUUUAAUCAAAUCAUAAUGCAGAUAAAACAUAGAUUUAAGGUGCUGAAGAUAAAUUAAAAAAAUGGGAUGUUGGCUAGUUUUUCGACAAUGCAAGGUUUUCAGUCAAUUUUUCAACUAUUUAUCUCCAAUUUUUAGUUGCAUUCCAAAUAGAUGUUGACAAGUUUGAUCUUAUUAAUUUAAAUUCAAGGCAAACAUUUUUCUUGAGAAUCAUAAAAUGCAAUAAUGUUCCUUGUACUUGAUAAACACUAAUGAAUAAUUACAACGGCUAAUGCAUUUUUUUUUCUCUUGUAAUUGAGUUGAAUCCGUAUUGAUCAACUAAAGUCUCACCUCUUGUACCUUUUUCUCAUGGUUGAAGGAAAGUUGCAAGAACAGGUAAAAGUAUGUUAGAACCAGUCCGUCCAUUCAAAAAAACAAAACGUUGGGAGAGAGAGCCAAUAUGAGUCAAAUUAUAGCUAACGACGGGAAGGGCAAAAUGAGAAAUUCACAGAAGAACAGCAGCUAGAGCCAGCAGAUUUAAAACUUCUCCCUGAAUAAUGGAAACCAGCGAAGCUUAAGAAUACGCUUCCCCACGAUACCACUUCUUGCUCUUGGUAAAAACCACUUGCGCCAGCUGCCACAAGUUCUCUCACACUUCCCCCCGGUCCCCCUUCUCCCCCACCAUUGCUACAGUACACUUCUUAUUACUAUGGCACUACUUCGCAAUUCUCCCCUCCCAUAGAUAAAUGAAAACCGAUCUCAAUUUCUCUCAGUUUACCAGAGCCCCUCUUUCCCCAAUUAUCUCCUCUUUCCUUCCUCCACUGUCCACCCCAGCCAGACAAAAUCCUCCAUAAUUGGAACCCCACCAAAGACUCAAAUUCAAGGAACAAAAAAAAAAAAAAGAGGGAAAUAGACAUAACCAUUAAUCAUGCGGAUGAGCUGCAAUGGAUGCCGGGUUCUCCGGAAAGGCUGUAGUGAAAAAUGCAG